UACGUAGGGGGCAAGCGUUGUCCGGAAUCAUUGGGCGUAAAGCGCGUGUAGGCGGCUCGGUAAGUCUGCUGUGAAAGUCCAGGGCUCAACCCUGGGAUGCCGGUGGAUACUGUCGAGCUCGAGUCCGGAAGAGGCGAGUGGAAUUCCUGGUGUAGCGGUGAAAUGCGCAGAUAUCAGGAGGAACACCAAUGGCGAAGGCAGCUCGCUGGGACGUGACUGACGCUGAGACGCGAAAGCCAGGGGGGCAAACGGG
rnacentral:rRNA from 1 species